UACGUAGGGUGCAAGCGUUGUCCGGAAUUAUUGGGCGUAAAGAGCUCGUAGGCGGUCUGUCGCGUCUGCCGUGAAAGCCCGGGGCUUAACUCCGGGUCUGCGGUGGAUACGGGCAGACUAGAGGCAGGUAGGGGAGAACGGAAUUCCCGGUGUAGCGGUGAAAUGCGCAGAUAUCGGGAGGAACACCGGUGGCGAAGGCGGUUCUCUGGGCCUGUACUGACGCUGAGGAGCGAAAGCGUGGGGAGCGAACAGG
rnacentral:rRNA from 1 species